rnacentral:rRNA from 1 species
UAGUGGCGAACGGGUGAGUAACACGUGGGCAAUCUGCCCUUCACUCUGGGACAAGCCCUGGAAACGGGGUCUAAUACCGGAUAACACCGGCUCCUGCAUGGGGGCUGGUUGAAAGCUCCGGCGGUGAAGGAUGAGCCCGCGGCCUAUCAGCUUGUUGGUGGGGUAAUGGCCUACCAAGGCGACGACGGGUAGCCGGCCUGAGAGGGCGACCGGCCACACUGGGACUGAGACACGGCCCAGACUCCUACGGGAGGCAGCAGUGGGGAAUAUUGCACAAUGGGCGCAAGCCUGAUGCAGCGACGCCGCGUGAGGGAUGACGGCCUUCGGGUUGUAAACCUCUUUCAGCAGGGAAGAAGCGCAAGUGACGGUACCUGCAGAAGAAGCGCCGGCUAACUACGUGCCAGCAGCCGCGGUAAUACGUAGGGCGCAAGCGUUGUCCGGAAUUAUUGGGCGUAAAGAGCUCGUAGGCGGCUUGUCACGUCGGGUGUGAAAGCCCGGGGCUUAACCCCGGGUCUGCAUCCGAUACGGGCAGGCUAGAGUGUGGUAGGGGAGAUCGGAAUUCCU